UUAGUAGAGACGGGGUUUCACCAUGUUGGCCAGGCUGGUCUCGACCUCCUGACCUCAGGUGACCCACCCACAUCGGCCUCCCAAUGUGCUGGGAUUACAGGCGUGAGCCACUGUGCCUGGCCACACCCGGCCAAUUUUCAUGUAUUUUUUGGUAGAGACAGGUUUUCAUCAUGUUACCCAGGCUGUUGUCAAACUCCUGAGCUCAAGCAAUCUGCCCACCUCGGCCUCUCAAAGUGCUAGGAUUACAGGCGUGAGCGAAUGCACUGGCCAACCUGUGGAUUUUGAAGCGUUUGAUAUUUUAUGGUUUCAGGUAGACUGUUUUCCCAUUUCCCUGAUAAGAAUCCAGAAUUAGAAAAGGUUGGGCUGGGCGUGGUGGCUCACGCCUGUAAUCCUAGCACUUUGGGAAGCCGAUGUGGGUGGUUCACCAGAGGUCAGGAGUUUGAGAUCAGCCUGACCAACAUGGUGAAACCCCGUUUCUACCAAAAAGGCAAAUAUUAGCCAGGUGUGGUGGUGUGCACCUGUAAUCCCAGCUACUCAGGAGG
rnacentral:lncRNA from 1 species